GCAACCCCUAGAGGCCUACAUACGGAUAUAUAUAUAGGCAAUAUAAUAAGGAAGAAGUAACGAUCCGGCCAGCAACUAGGGUUCGCGCGUGUUCAAUCCCCACGAUCGGCAUGGCGGCGGCGUUGCGGCAGACGAUGACGCGGGCCCUGCUCCGCCAUCCUCCUCCUCCCCGCCCGUCGCGCUUCAGUACCAGCAGCGGCACGAGCCAGGGUCAUCGUCAUCGGCCGCGUAGUGAUCAGUAUGAUGAUCGGCAGCGUCAUCACGACCAACUGAGGGCCCAGGCGAGAGGGAUUUGGGAGGAGGAGCGGAAAAGGGCUGCCAUUAGGUUUGGUUACCUGCAAUCGAUACUUGCCCUGGCAAUCCUCUCAGGCUCCGGUUAUGGGAUCUACUACGGAGUCCUCUGAGGCGACGGUCGUCAUAGGAUCUACCACGGCGCCUUAUAGUUCCUCCUAUGUCUUUUCUUAGUAUGUUUUUUAGGCUUUUAGCUACCGCGUUGCGUCAUGUUGAAUAAAGCCGAAUACUUGUGCUGUCGUCCUUCUCUUUUCAGUUCACCGCACCCAGUAGCGAUUUGUAAUAUUGAUAUAACUGAGUAAUUUGGGAGAAUCUAAUUCAUAUGCCGGCCAGCUGCCUUUAUCCUC